UACAUCUUCUGUUGCUUGCUUCUCUGCCAUUUCUGUGCCUUCAAACCGAGCCUCUUUUAAACUCAACGUCUUCAAUUCUUAACUCAAAUCUUGAAUUCUUCUUGAUGUAAUCUUAAAUCCAUCACAAUCCCUUUAAAUAGCCAUCGAUUGCAAUCACCAGAACCUAUUAUUCAUCACCGGACUUCCAUUUAUCAAUAACAACAGCGAACCCUAGAAAUUUCUUCUUCUCUGUUCAUCAAUUACAUCUCCAAUUACUUCUCAAACCCUAACUGCAAUCUCGAAUUCAAACUAAACCCAUGUCUUACAGCCACAUGAACUCUUUGAUUCAUUCUUAAUCUUCUCUAAUUCCACUGAAUAAUCCAUGGCAGUGACAUCUUCUUCAUGGACUUUCUUAUCUUUGCUCAAAUCCAUCAAACCCAUCUGCGAUUCAUCAAUAAAUACUGUGAGAUCUCAAGAAGCUCGAUUAGAAACCAAAUUUGGUGCCUUGAUGCAAAGUAAAAUCAGAAAGACGAUGCAGAGGAAGAGAAGAAGAAGGUUUAAUUCCUCAGCUAAAGGAGGGAAAAGAAGUUGAAGAAUGACAGACGCAUGGGAAUUCACUCGAAUAGAGGUCCAUUCCAGACUCUAACAAAUUGCAUUUGAAGCUUGCUUUUUGAGGAGGGGGAUGAGAUUCAGGUCAUGCAGGAAAUGGUUGUAUACUGAUGUGGAAGAUGCUUCUGCAGCAGAGUUCACAGAAUGUCUUGUUUUAUUAAAAGCUAAACACGACCCCAUAUUUUUCAGAUGCAGUAGCUGUUGGAGCAGUCAAGAAGUGAUCAUUGCCCUUGAGGGCAAUAACAUGAGAUUUAAAAUUUUGUGACUGGUCGAGGGUUGGUGUUAAAAGGAAACCAUUGCCGGAUCGCAGUUUUGCUAGGAGUUUUGUUGCACAAUUGCUUUCAAAGGUAUAAACUGCAAGAGCUGAAAUGAAAUGUAUUAUGAGUAUAGUCUUGAUAAACUAAUUGGCAUUAGUUUUUCACACAGCUUUGGUGAAAAACUGUAGCAAAAUGGUUUAAACUGUAAUAUGUUCUCGAGAAUGAUAGUGUUGUAGGUGUGCAGCCAAAUGUUAGAGGUCCUGGCUUUGUUACUUAUUGUGUGAUUAUCUUGAGUAUAUGCUUUAUAUGUUUGGUUAUAAGAUUGUAGUCAAUAGCAUGUUUCCCACUUGGUUUGAAGAAUGUGGCUUGCUGAUUGCAAUAUGGACUAAAUUGUUCCAUUGGAAAAGUUAAAGUGUGGUACAUUUGCCUGACCCGGUUAUGGAGUUCUGCCGCAUGACCUCCAGCUGAUUGCACGUGCACAUGAGUGUGUAAUUGAUGGAAUUUUGCCCAGGGGCGAUUAUUGUUGAGGGCUUGAAUAAAAGAGAGAGUAUUGAUGCAUUGGAGAAGUUGGUGGCGGGGUGGUGAUAGAGGUGUUGGAAGUGGUACACAUCUGGGAGCAAGGAAUUUCAGUUUUAAUUUUCUGCAAUAUUAUGUUAGAAUUAGCAAAAUAUUCUUAUACAUAACGCAAUUCCUUGGGUUAGUAUUUUUGUUGGUUGCCGCUUUGGUCUUUUAAACACUGCUUGAUAACUAAUUUUUCUAUUAGUUCUUUUUU